rnacentral:pre_miRNA from 7 species
AACUGGGUUCCUGCGUGGGAGGCCGGAGCUGUAUGUGUAAGGCCCCCUUUCGGGGACCCCCACUCUAGUCUCGGGAGUGUGAGAGCACCCAAAGAAACACGAGGACCC